rnacentral:rRNA from 1 species
CACGUAGGGCGCAAGCGUUGUCCGGAAUUAUUGGGCGUAAAGAGCGUGUAGGCGGCCAUGUAGGUCCGGUGUGAAAACUCGAGGCUUAACCUCGAGAUGUCAUCGGAAACCAUUUGGCUAGAGUCCGGAAGAGGAGAGUGGAAUUCCUGGUGUAGCGGUGAAAUGCGCAGAUAUCAGGAAGAACACCAAUGGCGAAAGCAGCUCUCUGGGACGGUACUGACGCUGAGACGCGAAAGCGUGGGGAGCGAACAGG